rnacentral:rRNA from 1 species
AGUGAACGCUGGCGGUAGGCCUAACACAUGCAAGUCGAACGGCAGCACAGGAGAGCUUGCUCUCUGGGUGGCGAGUGGCGGACGGGUGGGGUAUACAUCGGAAUCUACUCUGUCGUGGGGGAUAACGUAGGGAAACUUACGCUAAUACCGCAUACGACCUACGGGUGAAAGCAGGGGACCUUCGGGCCUUACGCGAUUGAAUGAGCCGAUGUCGGAUUAGCUAGUUGGCGGGGUAAAGGCCCACCAAGGCGACGAUCCGUAGCUGGUCUGAGAGGAUGAUCAGCCACACUGGAACUGAGACACGGUCCAGACUCCUACGGGAGGCAGCAGUGGGGAGUAUUGGACAAUGGGCGCAAGCCUGAUCCAGCCAUACCGCGUGGGUGAAGAAGGCCUUCGGGUUGUAAAGCCCUUUUGUUGGGAAAGAAAUCCAGCUGGCUAAUACCCGGUUGGGAUGACGGUACCCAAAGAAUAAGCACCGGCUAACUUCGUACCAGCCGCCGCCGUAA